UUAGCCACAGCCUUUUGGAGUCAGUCCAGUGUCUUUCAAUGAUUUCUUUAUGUGCUUUGGGUGCUGGGUUUAUUUGGCAUGGGACAUGCACCCAUUAGAAGUUUUCACAAGGAUUUGCCACGUUGCAGUUCUAAACGUGUGAACUCCUCACCAAAGGAUAUUUGGGUUUUUAUCCCAAGAGAGCUACAGGGAAAAGCACUCCAAGCAAAUGAAUCCAAAUCACUAGAGAUAGAUCUUCAGCAUCCACAGAGAGCCUGAAGCCCUCUCCAGACAGGAAAAUGGAUGAGAAGCAUUACCCUUGCUCUCAAGGUGAAGCUGUGCUGUUUUUGAAUUCCAAAGACUCCCAUUCAGGCUCUCGCUGUACCAUAUUAGGCGCAGGUAUCAGGAAUUUGAAUUCAUGUAACACAGAACCUGUCUGGAGCAACCGGGAAUGAUCCACAGGGGCAGAAGCAAACAGUAGCUGAGCCUGAUGAACAAUUAAGCUUUGGACUAACAAGGAAUCUCUCUACCAGCAGAAGGACAAAGAGAAAAUCUUUGGGAAAACCUCCCUCUAACCCGGACUGUGGUAUAGUCUCCCUGAGCCUUGACCUCAAGCUUGUUCUUCCUCCUGCCUUCCUCCUCAUGACACUUGACCGCUCAACAAUUGCCAUUUACUUUAAAACCUGCCAAAGAAACUGAAAGAGGGGCCUAUUUCCCUUAAAUGCUUGUCUUCCCAAAAAAUAAAGAAAUGGAGAAGGA